ACAUUUGAGAUGUCACAGAAAAAAAAAUAGUGUAAAGGACCUUUUAUAAAAAUUUAAAAUCAUUUUUUUUUUUUUUUUUUUGCAGGGCACAGUGGUGAACAUCUGUAAUCUCAGCGAAAUAAAACAAAAGAGCUGGGGGAAUAGCUCAGUGGUAGAAUGCUCUGGGUUCAACCAACAAAAAUGGGGAAAAAUGCCUCCCAGUGGACAGCCCCACAGGAUUGCCCUCAAGAGGACACUGUCUCCUGGGAGAGGACAUUCUUUCCUGCAGGAUGGCACAACUCAGGAUCGUCAACUCUCCAAAUGACAUGUUCUCACAGUAGUUGUUAUACUGCUCUGAUACUUAGUAAA
rnacentral:lncRNA from 1 species